rnacentral:rRNA from 1 species
UACCAGCACCCCGAGUGGUUGGGACGAUUAUUGGGCCUAAAGCAUCCGUAGCCGGUCCUACAAGUCUUCCGUUAAAUCCACCUGCUUAACAGAUGGGCUGCGGAAGAUACUAUAGGGCUAGGAGGCGGGAGAGGCAAGCGGUACUCAGUGGGUAGGGGUAAAAUCCUCUGAUCCAUUGAAGACCACCAGUGGCGAAGGCGGCUUGCCAGAACGCGCUCGACGGUGAGGAGUGAAAGCUGGGGGAGCAAACCGG